ACUCAAAGGAAUUGACGGGGGCCCGCACAAGCAGUGGAGUAUGUGGUUUAAUUCGAAGCAACGCGAAGAACCUUACCAGGGCUUGACAUCCCUCUGACCGGUCUAGAGAUAGACCUUCCCUUCGGGGCAGAGGAGACAGGUGGUGCAUGGUUGUCGUCAGCUCGUGUCGUGAGAUGUUGGGUUAAGUCCCGCAACGAGCGCAACCCCUGUUGUUAGUUGCCAUCAUUAAGUUGGGCACUCUAGCAAGACUGCCGGUGACAAAUCGGAGGAAGGUGGGGAUGACGUCAAAUCAUCAUGCCCCUUAUGUCCUGGGCUACACACGUACUACAAUGGCGACUACAGCGUGAGGCAAGACCGCGAGGUGGAGCAAAUCACCAAAAGUCGUCCCAGUUCAGAUUGCAGGCUGCAACUCGCCUGCAUGAAGUCGGAAUUGCUAGUAAUGGCAGGUCAGCAUACUGCCGUGAAUACGUUCCCGGGCCUUGCACACACCGCCCGU
rnacentral:rRNA from 1 species